AUGAUAUUUACAAUAAAAUAAAUUAAAACUCAUCAAAGCCAAACCCUUGAAAUCUAAAUUAUGUUAGGAUAUGGUGUAAUAGCAUGUUCAGUAACAUAUAUAAUCUAUUUUAUUUAAUUUUUAUUAGAAUAAGACUUUCCAAAUUUAUAUAAUAAUUGCUUGCUAAAGAAUAUUUUUUAAAUUGUAAAAGAUGUAGCAUGAUCUUCGAUAAAGUAACAGAUUGAUCUUUUUAUUAUGUCCCCUUCGAACUGGAGGGAUCAUUAAAAAUUACCCUUGUCAGUCAUCUGUAGUCCUAAAAUUGGUUUCUGUUCUCUAACUUUAGUUUGUCACUACCAAAUGUUAUAAAACUUAUACAUCAUGCUUAUUACCACAAAACACAGAUCAAGUUAGAAAUAUGAUGGCAUCACUUUAACCUUUCUAGAGUUAUGCCCCUUUACAAAUGAAAAAAAUAGUUAUUUUUUGUUGUUGAUGCUCUUUAACUUUAGUUUGCCUCAACCAAAUAUUAUGAAUCUUAAACAUAAUGCUUAUUUCCACAGCACACAGAUUAAGUUUGAAUUUUGGUGGUACUACUUUUACCAAUUGUAUCGGUUGAUCCCCUGUUGCAGAACCUAUAAAAACGGUUUACCUAUAUUGUAUUUUAAUUUAUUGUUAGAUAUAUUCAUUUUAGUCCUGUCCAUGCAUGAAAUAUUUGCCACUGUAUUUUAGGUUGAUAUAAAAUUAAUUUGGUUUAUUUAAUUUUCAAAAAAAUAAAAAAAAUAUUUUCUUUCACCCUUUGACAAAAAUAUGAUAUUUAAAAAAAAAACAGGACCCACACUCUUUUAUGUAAAAAUUUAGUUGGAUGUAUAGCAGCUUAACAAACACAAACUUCCAUCAAUGAGAAGCGUUAUAUUUCUGUAACAACAGAAUGUGAUUUAAACGUACAGCAGAUAUUUACAGAGUUAUCUCCCUUCAGUGUUCUGUACCACCUGAAGCAAAUUUAUAACAAUCAAGUAUAGCUC
rnacentral:lncRNA from 1 species